CUUGACGGUGCCCAGCAGCAGCGGAUGGGCGCUCCCCCGGUCCUUCCCAUAGGUGGCCAGCAGCGCCUGCGCCUC
rnacentral:antisense_RNA from 1 species